ACUGAGAGAGGUUCUUACCCUCAUUGGCUUCCAGUACCACUCUACAGCACUGAGAGAGGUUCUUACCCUCAUUGGCUUCCAGUACCACUCUACAGCACUGAGAGAGGUUCUUACCCUCAUUGGUUUCCAUAACCACUCUACAGCUCUGAGAGAGGUUCUUACCCUCAUUGGCUUCCAGAACCACUCUACAGCUCUGAGAGCGGUUCUUACCGCAUUGGCUCCAAGUUCCACUCUACAGCACUGAGAGAGGUUCUUACCGCAUUGGCUUCCAGUAUCACUCUACAGCACUGAGAGAGGUUCUUACCCUCAAUGGCUUCCAGUACCACUCUACAGCACUGAGAGAGGUUCUUACCCUCAUUUGCUUCCAGUACCACUCUACAGCACUGAGAGAGGUUCUUACCCUCAUUGGCUUCCAGUACCAUUCUACAGCACUGAGAGAGGUUCUUACCCUCAUUGGCUUCCAGUACCACU